rnacentral:rRNA from 1 species
GACGAACGCUGGCGGCGUGCUUAACACAUGCAAGUCGAACGGAAAGGCCCUGCUUGUGUGGUGUUCGCGAGGGGCGAACGGGUGAGUAACACGUGAGUAACCUGCCCUUGACUUUGGGAUAACUUCAGGAAACGGGGUCUAAUACCGGAUAGGAGCUCCUGCUGCAGGGGGGGGGGGGGAGAUUUUCGGCGGUUGGGUAUGGACUCGCGGCUUAUCAGCUUGUUGGUGGGGUAGUGGCUUACCAAGGCUUUGACGGGUAGCCGGCCUGAGAGGGUGACCGGCCACAUUGGGACUGAGAUACGGCCCAGACUCCUCCGGGGGGAAGCAGUGGGGAAUAUUGACCAAUGGGCGGAAGCCUGAUGCAGAAACGCCGCGUGCGGGAUGACGGCCUUCGGGUUGUAAACGGCUUUCGCCUGUGACGAAGCGUGAGUGACGGUAAUGGGUAAAGAAGCACCGGCUAACUACGUG